UACGUAGGGUGCGAGCGUUAAUCGGAAUUACUGGGCGUAAAGUGUGCGCAGGCGGCAGAGCAAGUCGAGUGUGAAAGCCCCGGGCUCAACCUGGGAAUUGCAUUCGAGACUGAAUAGCUAGGGUACGGUAGAGGGAAGCGGAAUUUCCGGUGUAGCGGUGAAAUGCGUAGAUAUCGGAAGGAACAUCAGUGGCGAAAGCGGCUUCCUGGACCAGUACCGACGUUCAGGCACGAAAGCGUGGGGAGCAAACAGG
rnacentral:rRNA from 1 species